rnacentral:rRNA from 1 species
GAUGAACGCUGGCGGCGUGCCUAAUACAUGCAAGUCGAGCGAACGGACGAGAAGCUUGCUUCUCUGAUGUUAGCGGCGGACGGGUGAGUAACACGUGGAUAACCUACCUAUAAGACUGGGAUAACUUCGGGAAACCGGAGCUAAUACCGGAUAAUAUUUUGAACCGCAUGGUUCAAAAGUGAAAGACGGUCUUGCUGUCACUUAUAGAUGGAUCCGCGCUGCAUUAGCUAGUUGGUAAGGUAACGGCUUACCAAGGCAACGAUGCAUAGCCGACCUGAGAGGGUGAUCGGCCACACUGGAACUGAGACACGGUCCAGACUCCUACGGGAGGCAGCAGUAGGGAAUCUUCCACAAUGGGCGAAAGCCUGACGGAGCAACGCCGCGUGAGUGAUGAAGGUCUUCGGAUCGUAAAACUCUGUUAUUAGGGAAGAACAUAUGUGUAAGUAACUGUGCACAUCUUGACGGUACCUAAUCAGAAAGCCACGGCCAACUACGUG